UACGGAGGGUGCGAGCGUUGUUCGGAAUCACUGGGCGUAAAGGGCGCGCAGGCGGUUUUAUAAGUCAGAUGUGAAAGCCCACGGCUCAACCGUGGAAGUGCAUUUGAAACUGUAAGACUUGAGUAUCAGAGGGGAAAGUGGAAUUCCCGGUGUAGAGGUGAAAUUCGUAGAUAUCGGGAGGAAUACCGGUGGCGAAGGCGACUUUCUGGCUGAAUACUGACGCUGAGGCGCGAAAGCGUGGGGAGCAAACAGG
rnacentral:rRNA from 1 species